rnacentral:rRNA from 1 species
AGCAUAAUCAAUUGUUCUUUAAAUAAGGACUAGUAUGAACGGCAUCACGAGGGUUUAACUGUCUCCCUAAUUUAAUUAAUGAAAUUGAUCUUCCCGUGAAGAAGCGGGAAUAUAUUUAUAAGACGAAAAGACCCCAUGGAGCUUUAAAUUUAUUCUCAAUUACCAAACCCAAAACAUAUACCUGGUAAAAGUGAUUAUAAUUUUCGGUUGGGGCGACCCUGGAGAAAAAUUAAUCCUCCAAGCUGAAUAGAUUAAAAAUCUAAUAUUAGAGUGACAACUCAAAUAAUCAAAACCUUGACAAAAUGACCCAGAACAUAUCUGAUCAACGAACCAAGUUACCCUGGGGAUAACAGCGCAAUCCAUUUCAAGAGCCCUUAUCGACAAAUGGGUUUACGACCUCGAUGUUGGAU